AUUGAACGCUGGCGGCAGGCCUAACACAUGCAAGUCGAGCGAGCGGCGGACGGGUGAGUAAUGUAUGGGGAACUGCCCGAUAGAGGGGGAUAACUACUGGAAACGGUAGCUAAUACCGCAUACUAUCGGAUGUACCCAUAUGGGAUUAGCUAGUAGGUGGGGUAAAGGCUCACCUAGGCGACGAUCCCUAGCUGGUCUGAGAGGAUGACCAGCCACACUGGAACUGAGAAACGGUCCAGACUCCUACGGGAGGCAGCAGUGGGGAAUAUUGCACAAUGGGCGCAAGCCUGAUGCAGCCAUGCCGCGUGUGUGAAGAAGGCCUUCGGGUUGUAAAGCACUGUCAGCGGGGAGGCGUUACCCGCAGAAGAAGCACCGGCUAACUCCGUGCCAGCAGCCGCGGUAAUAC
rnacentral:rRNA from 1 species